rnacentral:rRNA from 1 species
AUUGAACGCUGGCGGCAUGCCUAACACAUGCAAGUCGAACGGUAACGGGCCUUCGGGUGCCGACGAGUGGCGGACGGGGGAGUAAUACAUCGGAACGGGCCCGAUCGUGGGGGGUAACGAGGCGAAAGCUGUGCUAAUACCGCAUACGAGCUACGGAUGAAAGCAGGGGACCGCAAGGCCUUGCGCGGACGGAGCGGCCGAUGGCAGAUUAGGUAGUUGGUGGGAUAAAAGCUUACCAAGCCGACGAUCUGUAGCUGGUCUGAGAGGAUGAUCAGCCACACUGGGACUGAGACACGGCCCAGACUCCUACGGGAGGCAGCAGUGGGGAAUUUUGGACAAUGGGCGCAAGCCUGAUCCAGCCAUGCCGCGUGCAGGAUGAAGGCCUUCGGGUUGUAAACUGCUUUUGUACGGAACGAAAAGCCUUCUUUUAAUACAGGAGGGUCAUGACGGUACCGUAAGAAUAAGCACCGGCUAACUACGUG